rnacentral:rRNA from 1 species
GAUGAACGCUGGCGGCGUGCCUAAUACAUGCAAGUCGAGCGAACAGACGAGGAGCUUGCUCCUCUGACGUUAGCGGCGGACGGGUGAGUAACACGUGGAUAACCUACCUAUAAGACUGGGAUAACUUCGGGAAACCGGAGCUAAUACCGUAUAACAUGUUGAACCGCAUGGUUCAACAGUGAAAGACGGUCUUGCUGUCACUUAUAGAUGGAUCCGCGCCGCAUUAGCUAGUUGGUAAGGUAACGGCUUACCAAGGCAACGAUGCGUAGCCGACCUGAGAGGGUGAUCGGCCACACUGGAACUGAGACACGGUCCAGACUCCUACGGGAGGCAGCAGUAGGGAAUCUUCCGCAAAGGGCGAAAGCCUGACGGAGCAACGCCGCGUGAGUGAAGAAGGUCUUCGGAUCGUAAAACUCUGUUAUUAGGGAAGAACAAAUGUGUAAGUAACUAUGCACGUCUUGACGGUACCUAAUCGGAAAGCCACGGCUAACUACGUG